GUGCCAGCCGCCGCGGUAAUACGGAGGAUGCGAGCGUUAUCCGGAUUCAUUGGGUUUAAAGGGUGCGCAGGCGGCGUUCCAAGUCAGCGGUCAAAUCCACGGGCUCAACCCGUGGCCGCCGUUGAUACUGGGGUGCUUGAGUAGGUGCGACGGAUGCGGAAUGCGUGGUGUAGCGGUGAAAUGCAUAGAUAUCACGCAGAACCCCGAUUGCGAAGGCAGCGUCCGAGCACCCGACUGACGCUGAGGCACGAAAGCGUGGGUAUCGAACAGGAUUAGAUACCCUGGUAGUCCACGCGGUAAACGAUGAAUACUGGUUAUCCGGUCUUUUUUGGGCUGGGUGACUCAAGCGAAAGCAUUAAGUAUUCCACCUGGGGAGUACGCCGGCAACGGUGAAACUCAAAGGAAUUGACGGGGGCCCGCACAAGCGGAGGAACAUGUGGUUUAAUUCGAUGAUACGCGAGGAACCUUACCCGGGCUCAAACGCAUGAGGACGUGUGCCGAAAGGCACAUUCCCUCCGGGGCUUCAUGCGAGGUGCUGCAUGGUUGUCGUCAGCUCGUGCCGUGAGGUGUCGGCUUAAGUGCCAUAACGAGCGCAACCCCCAUCUCCAGUUGCCAUCGCGUCAUGGCGGGCACUCUGGAGAGACUGCCGGCGCAAGCUGUGAGGAAGGCGGGGAUGACGUCAAAUCAGCACGGCCCUUACGUCCGGGGCGACACACGUGUUACAAUGGCGGGGCACAGAAGGAAGCCAGGCGGCGACGCCGAGCCGAUCCCGAAAACCCGUCUCAGUUCGGAUCGGAGUCUGCAACCCGACUCCGUGAAGCUGGAUUCGCUAGUAAUCGCGCAUCAGCCAUGGCGCGGUGAAUACGUUCCCGGGCCUUGUACACACCGCCCGU
rnacentral:rRNA from 1 species